UGAGGGAUAUUGGUCAAUGGGCGCAAGCCUGAACCAGCGACGCCGCGUGGGUGAAGAAGGUCUUCGGAUCGUAAAGCCCUUUUCCCACUGAAGAGGAAGGACGGUAGGUGGGGAAGAAGUCUCGGCUAACUACGUGCCAGCAGCCGCGGUAAAACGUAGGAGACAAGCGUUAUCCGGAGUUACUGGGCGUAAAGGGCGUGCAGGUGGCGUCUUAAGUCUGUUGUGAAAGCGCCUGGCUUAACCGGGCGAGGCCAGUGGAGACUGAGAGGCUGGAGGACGGCGGAGGGGUGUGGAAUUCCGGGUGUAGUGGUGAAAUGCGUAGAGAUCCGGAGGAACACCAGAGGCGAAGGCGGCACUCUAAGCCGUACCUGACACUGAGACGCGACAGCACGGGGAGCAAACG
rnacentral:rRNA from 1 species